rnacentral:lncRNA from 12 species
UGAUGCUAAAGUAACACUGUGUCCAGUGCAACUAAAACACAGGGCAUGUUUGUAAGCAAGAUUCUUGGUGUCAGUUUUUCUCUGAUAUGUUAUACACAAGGAUUACAGUCAUUUCACAAGAGUCAGCGAUGAGACAAGAACAAAAUUACAAGGAAGUGCUUGCUAGAAAAGAAGACUAACUAGCAAAACAAGUGUUGCUCCUUCCAGAACUAGACAGGUAUGUUUUCUUUUACAAGACGAUUUGUAUUUUAUAUUAUUAGACAGUUUAGCACAUUAAAACAUAGGCUACAGUAGAUUUCAGUAUUUGAUUCCUGCAUAGUUUGAUGUUAUUUUUGUUUCUUUUAUAUUUUCAGAUGCCUCAUUAUUUCAUCAGUCAACAUUGUCUGCAAGAAGAAACUGCAAAAGAAGUUCAACAACCCUGACAGCAAAAAAAAAAAAAGAAAAAGAAAAAAGAAAAGAAAAGAAAAUGCAGAGAUGCAUUUGCAGGACCAGCGGCUCGCGCGUCAGUGACAUUAAUAACCUGAGAAUCAUGCAGACGCUGAACGACGCCACGUUUGAACUGGAGGAGCGAGACAACUUUCUUAUUUCUUAACAAUCAUCUGUACUAUAUAAUUUGUGAUUGAUAUUAUACAGUAUGAAACAAAAGUGAAAAAAUGUCAAUUUUAAAGGUUCUAAACAGUUUUGUGAUUUAUUUCUUUAAUUUAAUUGUUAUCUUCCGAAUCUUUAUCUAAUAGGCCUCUUAUCAGCUGUUUUUAUUCCCAUCUAUCUUUUAUCUCAUAUGAGCUGAAUAUUUGUUUCAUACAACUGAACUUCCCCAGAGUCUGUAAAAAAACAAACAAUAACUGAUUAUUUUGUAGAAGAAAUUUACUGAGCAAAUAUAGAUUUUUUUGGUUAAUUUUAAUUAAAUUCUAUUUACUUUUCAGUGUGAACAUUUCUAACAAGAAAUAAGUAAAUAUUGGAUAGCAAAUAUUUUAUUUUAUUUUUGCAGUGUGAAACUACCUUCUGCAUUUUCUACUGCAGAUCCUUCAGCUCUUGCUGAAGUAUUAGGAUGAUUAAAACCUUUCUAGCAUGUCUGUUAUCAUAUUCUAUCAGUGGAAAAACACCAUAACUAUUUUUAACAAAAGUGCUGCCAACAGUUCAAACCGGUUCUCACAAAGAUAAACACGGUUUUCUUCUGCGACUGUUUCUGUUUGAGAUCUCAGAGCCUGAGGAGAAAGUUCCCAGAAGGUCAGGAACAGCCACAAAUAUUAUACUUAAUUAAUUAUAAUACUGGUGUUUAUAAAAGUGGUGUUUGCUAAGAUGAGCAUCAUUGUUGUGAUCAAACACUAAUUGAACUUGUAGAUUUAAACUAAUUAAAUGCAUUCUGCAGCAUUUGUGUUACAGAUAAACAUGCUUUGACAAU